GAUGAACGCUGGCGGCGUGCCUAAUACAUGCAAGUCGAACGCAUAGCGAAAGGUGCUUGCACCUUUCAAGUGAGUGGCGAACGGGUGAGCAACACGUGGACAACCUGCCUCAAGGCUGGGGAUAACAUUUGGAAACAGAUGCUAAUACCGAAUAAAACUUAGUGUCGCAUAACACAAAGUUAAAAGGCGCUUCGGCGUCACCUAGAGAUGGAUCCGCGGUGCAUUAGUUAGUUGGUGGGGUAAAGGCCUACCAAGACAAUGAUGCAUAGCCGAGUUGAGAGACUGAUCGGCCACAUUGGGACUGAGACACGGCCCAAACUCCUACGGGAGGCUGCAGUAGGGAAUCUUCCACAAUGGGCGAAAGCCUGAUGGAGCAACGCCGCGUGUGUGAUGAAGGCUUUCGGGUCGUAAAGCACUGUUGUAUGGGAAGAACAGCUAGAAUAGGAAAUGAUUUUAGUUUGACGGUACCAUACCAGAAAGGGACGGCUAAAUACGUG
rnacentral:rRNA from 1 species